GACGAACGCUGGCGGCGUGCCUAAUACAUGCAAGUAGAACGCUGAAGAGAGGAGCUUACUCUUCUUGGAUGAGUUGCGAACGGGUGAGUAACGCGUAGGUAACCUGCCUUGUAGCGGGGGAUAACUAUUGGAAACGAUAGCUAAUACCGCAUAACAUUGGAUGCCACAUGUCAUUUUUUUGAAAGGGGCAAUUGCUCCACUACAAGAUGGACCUGCGUUGUAUUAGCUAGUAGGUGAGGUAAUGGCUCACCUAGGCGACGAUACAUAGCCGACCUGAGAGGGUGAUCGGCCACACUGGGACUGAGACACGGCCCAGACUCCUACGGGAGGCAGCAGGAGGGGAGCUUCGGCAAUAGGGGCAAACCUGAACGAGCAAAGCCGGGGGAGUGAAGGAGGGUUUCGGGUCGUAAAGCUCUGUUGUAAGUCAAGAACGGGUGUGAGAGUGGAAAGUGCACACUGUGACGGUAGCUUACCAGAAAGGGACGGCUAACUACGUG
rnacentral:rRNA from 1 species